UUGGGUACCAUCUACCGAUCAUUGUAUGUACGAUUUCUGUAGCAUCUACAUCAUCUAACUAGCGCGACACUGCGAGAUUUCACUGUAGCAAUGGCAUUUUUGGGGAUGUAGAGCUGAAGUGAGAUUUUUACUGGCUUGCCUCGUUUCUUUUCCUGCUCCGUUUUUACAAAUGUACAAGGGAAACGUCUGAAAGUAUUAUCUUGUAUUUUAUCUGUAUUUUUCUGGCUGAAGGUAUGUAACUCGUGUAUGAUGUGUCCUUGCGUAAAGGCGUAAAGAUUGUUCAUGGUUGUCAUCGACGCAUCAUGGGCUCCAAGCUCCUAAAAGGUGAAGGAAAUAAAAAUCUUCAGAUAUCAGCCCAUUUAAAUCAGCGGACGGCCCCCGACUUCUCAGCCCACUUAAAGACAACCGGCCCACCGUGUCAUCCAACGGCCCCUUUAGAUAAAAAGACCGAAAAAAAAUUCCCUCCAAAACUCCGCGUCACUCGUCACUCGUCGCUCGCCAUCUUCCCCAAAAAUUUUCGAACGCCAAACCCUAACUCUCAUUCUCAAUCCCAAUUCGCAAGUCUCGUCACCAUGGACGUCGGCGGAAGCGGGGGUGGCAGCGGCAUCAUCUUGUCGCCGGGGACGGAGGACGACAAGUUUGCGCGGAGGCGCUCCCGCCGCGUGAGCUUCGCGGACACCACCGCGGUGCACGUGUUCUACCGCGACGAGGACUUCGAGACGCCCCCCGAGGAGCGCGAGCCCGGCUCCGCGUCCCCGUCCCCUGGGAAGUCCUCGGCGGAGCGGGGCGAUGGGGACGACACGGAGGAGUUCCCGGUCAUCUUCCUGCCGGACAUGGAGUCAUCAUCCCCCGGCAGCGCCGCCGGAUCCAUCGCCUCCGCUGAUGGUGAAACCCUCCUUCCUUUGUUUCGAAAUGAAAAGCUCUGUUAACUGGCACGUUUGAUUUUGUUACGACUUAUGACCGUGUACCCCACAUUGUUGGCUUCCAUAGUUGAUGGGCAAUUAGGUUCGUUAUUUGAAACUUCUGAUGCUCAGAUUGCUGCAUUUGUCAAUUCAAUUAUGUUAAGCUUCGCUGCUUGGAGGUUCCUUAAUCUUUCAGUUUCGGAUUCAAAUGUUUAGUGUCAGUCUGUCAGAUGUGACAUACCUUGUUGCUUAAUGUUGGCAAAUUUGCUGCGCUUAGUGCUGAAUUGCGAGUAUAGAUGCAGAUAGGGAUCUAAAAAUGAGUGUGUUUAUUGCACAAUAUAUUAGGUCAGCAGACAUUCUUGUAGUGCUUGCUCAUUAAGAUCACGAAAACCAAGCAUUGUUAAUGGAUUGAAGAUGCCGGUACUCGCUUCUCUAUUUAGAAGUUAUAAGUUAAACAUCACUAUAUGACAUGGGGUGUCUUGCUUUUAUGUAUCCAUGCAUCUAGUGUGGGUGUGCAAACCUUCAUUCUUUUAGUUUUAUGCUAACCAAGAUGUCAUAUUACUUGUUGAAAAGCUUCUUGUAAUCUCACUAUGCCCAUUCCUAUGGACAGAUGAUAACUUCUUUGGACCUGUAUCAACAAGCUUUAUUCAAACAGGAAGACCAUCUGAUUCUGGAAUGUCAGAGGAUGAUAACCAUGAUAUAACUAUGGAUUCCAGGACGUUCUCUAUGCAUUUUCGCAAUAUUGCUCCACCAGAUGACUGUACAGCCAACUCAGCUGCCAGUCUAAUGACACCUAAUACUGAAUCUAAGGGACCCCUGAAGGAACUGACUGUAUCUGAUCCUGGAAAAACAUUGAGUAGUGGUCAGACUGACAUGAGUUUGUUGAAUGUUAACCCCAGAAGUUACAAUUAUGGCAAGCUAUCACCCACACUGAGCAGUAUGAUACAGAAGGUAAAAGUGGGCCAGCAAACAGAGUCUCCUAAAGCUGGCAUUGCUGAUGUAACUCCUGAUUCUGUUUUAACCUUGCCUUCAUCUGAGGAAGAAAAUAGGGAAGAAAACUUAUGCAAUGACAAUGUUAUAUCUUCUGAUGAGCUGGGCACUGUUAAUACUAUCGCGGAGCACAUUUCCAUGAGUAAUCCAGUUUCAAACAGCACAUAUCAAAUUCAAGAAGAUAGUGAAAUGAUAACUGAUGGUCAUGAGAAUUCACAGGUUCGAUAUUUGAUCCUUUAAAUUUGGUAUUGAACUUCUUUAAUACCUUUUAGUUAUACAGUAGAACUUGUAAGUAACUGGAGCACCGAAACACUUUCUGAUAUAUUGAUGUUCCAGCAUAAAGUUUGGCUGGCAUAUGGAUACUAGGGAAACUCGUAUUUGGAAUAGGAGAGACUAAUAUCCUUCAUAGUUGUAGUCAAGCACAGUUGUCUCACUCACUGUUGAAUUUGCCAGCUUAUGUCUCUGACUGUGUUUUACUUAUUCUUGUUUCCCAUAGAUUUAGUACCAUUGGUUAUUUUGAUUUAUGUGCAUCCAUUGCUUUGGUGCUUAUCUGUGUAUUGUAAUUUAACUAUUUUGCAGAACGGAAACCAUGACCCCAUGGUUAUUGACCCUGGUGUUGAUAAUACCGUAGAACCUCCUGCAAAGCUUUCUCCAGCAUGUAAAUCCUUCGUGAAUAACGUUGACAUGCAAUCCCAUCUGUUAGAUCAAUCCUUGUUGAAAGAUCAACCAUCUGGAUCAAAUUGCACUGCAAGUGCUUCCUCUAUGUGUAAUGUUGACUCAGAACCCAAUCUGUUGGAUCAAUCACCUGGAACAAAUAACGUUACUGAUGCUUCCCAAUUAUCAAGUGCAGCUCUUGCCAUUUUGCUGAUGGAUGCUGAGCAGCUGCACCAGCAAAAUGAAGUGAUGGAUAGAGAAACCAUUCUACAUACUCCGAGAACUGUAGAUCAGCAAUUGCAAGUUCCACAAGGCUCUAUAUCCUCCCUACGCUUGAAAAGGCAGAAACUCUUCAGUGCUACUCCUCUAUCCAAUGGUAAAGUGGCAAACCAGGAGGCUUAUUCUUUGGUUAGCGAGUUUGCUGAACAUGGCAAUAGAAUUUCUACCCUGAAGAAUGCAUUGAAGACCAGGCUUCAAGAAUCACCUGCAGCUUCCCGGUUACCAUUGGUCGAAAAGAAUGAACUUAGUCAUCAAGAAAAUGACAUGUUCAGAAAUCCUGAAGAUCAUGAUUCCAACUUAUCUGUUUCUUCUAAUUCUGUUCCACGACGACAACUGAAGAAAACUAGUGAGUCUUUUAUCCUAGGCACUCCAACACAGGUGCUAAAUGAAGCCACUAAGGUUCAGGAGACUUCAUGUCGUGUCCUUACUUUGGAUAGCCAACCUAGUCAUGAAUGCAAUCCCCUCCUCGAUUUAGAUGGUGCUGGAAGAAAGAAAACUGUUAAAGAAAAUGGUCAUGCCGUGCAAGAGUGUCCUGAGGAAAUAGCUGAGGCAGCAAGAAGCCCUAGAAAAUCAAGAAAAGAGCUUUCUUGUGUAUCUCAAUCUUCUCCUAGAAUUGAAGGAAAACAGAAUGAUGCUCAUGAUAAAGGGCAGUUAGUUAAUGUUGAUUGGAACAAGGUAAAAGUGACAAGUUUAUAUAUCCAAACUUUAAGUACUACACAAAGUUUUUGAUUGUUGAAGUGAUUAGAUUCUUUAAAAAAUCAGGACUUUUCUCUUUUGUACAGAUACUACGUACCAUCUCUGAUGCAACAGAGCAAGUUUUGUUGGCAUCAAUAAGUAAGCUUAAUUUACAACAGGUAUACUUUCCCCCUCACUGUAGUAAAGUAACAUAAAUUUUUUGUUAGAAAAAAUCUUUUACUCUGCAUGGCUGAUUUUGAAAAAUGUAUUUCAACAGUUGUCCUAUUGAAGGGUUUGCAAUACAUUGACCUGCUGUAUUGCCUCUAGCUAGCAUCGUAUUGUGUCAGCUGAAUUGUAAACUUGUUUUCUAGAUGAACUUAAUAAAGAGUAAAUUUCAGUGAACUACAACUGUGCCCAGAAUUAUCAUAAAAAUAGUUUUGUGCUUAACUUGUAUCCAAAACCACACAAAUGUGUCCAUAUUACUGUGAACUGUGCUUUCUAACCAACAGCAUUACUUUGGACGUGAACUGACAUCCUGGGCUGACAUGUAAGACAGGUGCAGCUCACAAACUAACCGCACCAUAUGACUGAAAUGCGAAUUGUCAUAUAACUAACCAUGUUAGCUAAAAAGUGUGGUUUGGCUAUAAAUAUGCUCCAAAAAGUUAUGUAGCUUUGACAAAUAUGCUCCAAAAAACAUAGUUUUCGAUGAUUUAGACUACAUAAUUGUUGCUAUAUAAAGAAUAAUAUCUUUGUACCAAUUUUUAGUGUCUUGGAGGAUUCAUGAUGUCUACUUCACCAUUGUUUUCAUGAUGUCUACUUCACCAAUGUUUUCUUGCCUUUUUUCUUUUCUUUUUUCUUGUCUCGAGGAUGUAAAACGCUUGUAAUAGUAAACGACGUGAAUCAUAAACUUGAUAUCUGGGAAUCUUUUAGGCAAUACACGAAGUGGCAUUAUCUUGUGAAUAAUACAUCAUGGUUUCUUCUUUAAUUAGAUGAUUCUAUCCCUUGGAAAAUUGUUCGAUUUAUUUCCAAACACAUCUAUCCUGAAGCUCCAUAUUUCUGACCCUAAAACAUACUGGCAAUCUUUCACACUUGUGGUCGUGGAGACUAGUCUGAUGUUUUGAGCCUAUCUGAAACAAUUGAUAGAGGUUCCAACUGGCAAUCUUUCACACUUGUGGUCGUGGAGACUAGUCUGAUGUUUUGAGCCUAUCUGAAACAAUUGAUAGAGGUUCCAACUGAUAUUCAGAAUCUUUAGUUCUCUAGAUUUGUUCAGUGAAUUUCUGUCCAGAAAAUUAAUUUUUCAUAUGGCAUAUCACAUAUACUCCCUAUGUUUUUAAAUAUAUGACAUCUAGGACAAGCUAAUUAGCAGUCAAGGUGUUCUAUUACUCUUCUUAAUGAAAUGAAAUGCAGCUCUUCAGCGUUUUCGAGAAAAAAAGGUGUUCCGUUUAAAUUUUUAUGACAUUCAGUUGUCAUACUUAAUGUUGUUAUCUGUCUGUUUUUCUUUUGAAUGAAGCUUGAUGCGCUAAGCGAUAAGCUGGAUGAGGUUCAUAUGGCUAGAAAAUAUAAAAGGCUUUCUACUGCUGUGGUAUGCUCUCAUCUUUUAUCUUUUAAUUUUAGCAACAUGUUUCCUAUUGCCUAUUGGGAUUAUUUUUUCCACUUAUCUAGGUGACAUGUUUGUUCUUUGUACCCAGAGGAUCAAAGAUUGCUGUAGUGCUAAGCAAAAGAGGUACCUAUUGAUUAACAUAUGCAUUUCAUUUGUUGCUGGCUGCUUGGAGAUAUAAUCUAGUUUAUAACUCUACGUGCUUCCCCAGAUUAGAGGAGGCAAGAUCUCUCCAUGAGAAGCUUUUCUAUGCAAAGGCAAAGCUACAAAUAAAUAAUAUGAAGCUAGCUAAACUCCGAGUAGGAUUUCUUCAUCUUUUUUAAAGACCUUAUGGCCUGUAAGUUGCAGUCAGAUGCUAACUUACUCCUUUUUUUCCAUUUUGGUUCAGAAUAAGGCUCAGCUAUAUCAAGAUGGAAUUCAAGAGUGCUGCAUUCUGAAAUCUAAGAUAUUGGGUGCUGCACAAAUGAAGGAUGCUUGUCUUCCUGCAGCAACUUCUAUCAAUGCCAGUGAUGGACAGGUAAUGAUUUAAUGAUUUAAUUGCCUUGUUAGUUUUAGCUGUCAAGCCUGUAUCUAAGCCAACUAUAAGAGUGCAGACAACUAAGCAAUGGAUCUGCACCCCAAUCAUGUAAAUGACUUUUGGGUGCCAUGGUGUUGAUCUAUUAAGUCUGGACUUUGAGUAGUCAUUCUUCUUGUGGUUACUACUGCUUCGAUAGCUUCUAUUAUGUAUGUUGUUACAACCAUCCUUUUCCAUUGCUCUCAUUCGUCUUUAUCCUUUAUCCUGGGUAAUAUUACGUUGCUUAUACUGUCACCUAUUCUUGCAUCUGGUAAACUAAAGUAGAGAAAUCUGCAUGGUUGUGAAAUUUAUGCAGAAACUUGUUCACGCUCAUACAAAAUUCUCUUUGUCCCAGUGAUUUAUACUUCUUGUGUUUACCCAGGAAGAGCUUGCUAUUUUGACUGAGAAGCGGCUUGAACUCAACAAUAUUCAACAGAAGGUGGAGAACUUAAGGAAUUCCCUUGAAUGUUUUCGCAAUAUUGAAGGUGACGUUAGUUGUGAAAGUGUUAUGAGGCGUGCUGAGGAGCAGUUGAAGAUGAGAAAUCAGUGUCACUUCAUCCACCAGCAAGCAGGGGUACUGGUUUAUGACUUAGUGUUAAAUCUACUGUGCAUACUUCUCUAUCUGCAGCACCCCCACCCCCCGCUUACAAUUUUUUGUUUUGUUUAUUCAGCUCUGCGAGCUGACUGGCAUAGUUAAAAGGGACAAUAAGCGUGAUCUCAUCCUCAACUAUCACAAUUUAUUGUUCCAAAGGUAAUCAUUCUGCGUACUUUAGCAUUGUUAUUGCUACGUCAUUGGUUCUUGGUUUAAACUGUCUCAGACUCAGUUGCAAGUUUCUGAUAGAAAUCUGUAUUUUUUUUUGUUUCUCCAUAUGUUUUAGGUUCUAAUUUUGUGAAAUGAUAGAGGACAUCAUACCUUUUGUUUUAAAAAAUAAAGGAUUUUCAUGGUUACAUUCAUAGUUUUGGAGCAUUUUAUACUAACCUAACCCUGGAGAUCCAAAAUUGCAUGAAAAUAAUGAUGAAAAAUGCUUGAAGUAUUUUUCUAUCAAGGAUAUCAUGUCCUCUAUUGUCCCACAAAACUUGAACUUAAACUCAACUUAUUCAUGGAGAGGAAAAAAGAUAAUCUUAUGGGUAGAUUGGACCAGUUAUAAUUGUUUAGGGGAGAAUUGAGCUGAAAUUUUGUUCAGGGGGUCAAGUGGAUAAAGUGGAUUAUUCGGAGUAGUAAAAUGGACCUUUUCCAACAUAAAUCUAGGUGAUUCCCUUUGAUUCUGGUGAACUUGCUUGGACCUGACAAGUUGCAACCAUUUAUGCCCACUGUUUUUGAAAGAAUACUCUAUGCAAUAAUAUGCAAAAAAGAUUGUUAUGGGCCAAAACUCUUUAGCAGCCAAAUAAAGUCCCUGUUCUCCUGUCUCUUUAUCUUUUUUCUCCCCCUGAUUUAUAAGUCAAACUAUGGUACUGCGCUCCUGGCUGGUAAAGCCUGCUGCAAUUGUCUUAGCUUCUGUAAAUCAUUGUAGCAUGGCAAUAAAUAAAUAUAUUUUGUUUCAUCAUUUGAAGUGCCUUAUUUUGUUUCCUACCAUUCUUUUGACAGGAUCAUCUUAAACAUGAGUGAUAUGUCUAGCAUAUUUGUGAAUAAUUCACUGAAUGGAACCAAAAUAGGACAGGUGAGAUGAUCAAACUGUUUUCAUUCUUCUGUAUGCAAUCAAUUUCAUGACACUUUACUCUUGGUCAGAUAUUCCCAAAUUUGGAUGCCUCUAUGGCAUUCAAUUUUCUUUUCAAAGCUGAGGAGAACCAAAGAGUUCAUGAUUUACAAUCCUUGCAGCAGAUGACGAUGGUGAGUUUAUCUUUGAAUUUAGAAUUUCUAUGUGCAGGAAUUCUAGCUGUUCACUUUUAGAAUGCUUAUUCUUAUCAAAUGACAUUACCUACACCUUCCUUCUAUGAAGUGAACAUAUGCGGACAUCACCCCUUUAUCACAUGUUUUGCCACAUCAGUAAUUAGCUGUAUCUGUUUGAGCAUAGUUAUACUAAAUUUUUUGAAAUGGCUGUUGUGUUCAAAGGCGUAUAAAGGUCCUGUUUACUAACAUGCAUUAUUUAUUUAUUUUUGCAGGAAACAAGUUUGCUUCUGGGCAAUCUUAUUGAUGUUUUAGAAGAAAUCAAGUUAGCUAAAAUGGAGUUACUAAAUCUUACUUCAGCUGCUUUUGUGUUGGAGUCCCAGACAUGUGUGCUCUCUAUCUCUUCUACCUUUUAUCUUCAAGUACUGGUGUGAUUUUGUCAUAAAGCAGUGAUAUUGAAUUGUUUGUUAACAUAGUAUAUCAUUCAUGGAAUGUUAGGUUCACAUCCAUAACUGUGACAAUGGGAUGCAAUGCAUAAAUUUUCGUUUGUUAGUAUAUCACUCAUAGCAAUAUGUAGCAUGUUUUAGUGAUAAUAUUGAAGAAGGCAUAUUACCGAUAUUAGUAAAACAUAGUUCUGUGCUUUAAAUUGUGAGUUUAGGAGAGCUCCAACACCCAAGCUGGCUUUAUAUUAAGUGCACUGAUGUUUAUCUAAGAAGCAUAAAUAUGGCAUCAAUUGUAGAUCAAGUUUUGUGUAGCUGCAGUACACUAUGUAUCCUAACCAGGAACUAAAUAGCCACUAUAUUGUUUGCGCUGUUUUAUGUGUUAGGUCAACUUGGCCUCCGUGCAUGCUUCAUGAGCUUCAAGAGCGGCAAGAAGUUUGCUUUUACCAUCGACAUGACAGACUUGAACCGGUUCGUCCAGUAUGACUAAACCUUCUUUCUACAUUGCUAUGCUGUCUACUUAUUGCUAAACCUUGUUUGAUUUGGGACAGCUCUGUCUACCCUUCUGAGCCAUCUGAGCUGCCGAUCAAGGUUUGCGAAGGGCAGACAACACUAGCACAGGCAAGCAUAGACGAGACCAUGACUUCUAUAAGGAACCUGCAACCUGGUCGCACGGUGAUACUACGGCUGUGCCGGAGGGUAUCUCGGCUGAUUCAUUCCUUGCCAGGUUGACCUGAUCACUGGAGUACAGCAUGUAGGAAAGUAGACAUUAUCCGGAUGUGUAGACAGUAGCGUCAUCAGCUUUCCGUAAGUAAGUGUGCGUUGUUAAUAGCUGUUCGGAUCCAUAAAUCAACCCUUCUGUUGACCUGCAAGUGUCAAGCACUGUAUGACUGUAAAUAUAGCUAGAAUCUGACAAACCUUCAUGAACAACGAGUGGGUUUGUUGCUGCAGGUGGAAUGGCACCUUUAACCAAGUGGUUUUGGUCACUGCAAAUCCUUGUAAUUGCCAUUGUAUUGAAGCAGCACUAAAGAGUUGAUAGCCUGUCUACAUUUAUUGUAAACAUGGUUUCCUUUGCGUAUCUACUUUUGGUGAAGUGAAAUGCGAAUUGUUGGUUGGCCAGUUGAAAAAUUGCGGGCAAUUGGAACUGUCAUCGACCCAUUGAAUUGAAGCAGCUCUAAGGAGUUGGUAACCUUUUGCGUCCAUAUUUCGGUUAACCGAAACGCUAACUACUGGCCGCCAGCUGAAAAGUAGAUGUUCCGUUAUUUAGAAAACACUAGCUUUCCUUAACACAACGGUUGAGAUGGCCGAGUUGGUCUAAGGCGCCAGAUUAAGGUUCUGGUCCGAAAGGGCGUGGGUUCAAAUCCCACUCUCAACAGUUGAUUCUUUUUUUCCUCCCUUUUUCAACGGGUGGUAAUUUAGGCUUAAUUUCUUCAACAGUGCUGACCCACACAGAAAGAUUAAUCUGUUUUGAUCAAAUUUUCGCAGUACUUGUUCUGAAAUCCCCAAGAGCAUGCACGGGUGCACUCAAUUUUUUUAAACAUACCCAUAGCAUACACGUAUAGUAAGCUGACGAAAUUAACACGUGCGCGCGCAAAGUCGUUACAAGGAAAGGGGCACAGAAGCAUUUUUUUUUUGUCUCCCCAUUCCCCCUGUAUGCAACGGAAAAAAAAAUGUGGAUGAAGAGGCAAACUAAAAUAGCUGGCCAUGCUUGAAGACGGGUUUAAUUUCUUAGCAAUUUUUGCGGCGCGACCUCGUCGUCACCCGCGCCC
rnacentral:lncRNA from 1 species